GGGCGUUCGAGGGUGAUAGGGCGGAAGAGUGUAGCAAAGCUAUCGGCCAAGAGAAUGGCCUGCAGGGGGACGCGUGAUAGUUCCUCCUCCGCAUCUUCGCCUACCGUUCCUCCUCUGCUCCCUUUCUUCGCCACCAUUGCGCUUUAACGACCAAACUUAUGCUGCUGUGUAUAUAACAUCUAUGAGAGGAAUCAAGCAAGAAAACCUUUUUCUUUUUAAAGGGAAAUCACGCAAGAAAUCAAAACAGUUGCUUUUGCACUAAUCUAUAUACAUCUAUAUAUAUAAAAGCUGAGCACAUUUAGCCAUUUUUUCCGCCAAUAAGCUAUCUCUUUAUAUCUUUUAUAUCUACUUAAAUCUACAUAUCCACAUCCAGCAAUACCCAACAGUUUGGCUCCAAGAAAUGAAUCAAUAUAAAUAUCAGUUCAGCCCCAGAAGUUAUCAUCAUUCCCAAAAAUCAAGGGGGUUUAUACCUACGUCCAAGGAGGAGGCGGGGCGACGGGGAAGCUGGGCAGUCGGCGAGGGCGGCGGCACGGAGGCCGGAGACGAGAGAGUGACAGAGACAGAAAGCGGGACACGAGAGUGAGAAGAGAGAGAACAAUUUGAUUUAACAAUUAUUUAUGGAAAUUUUGGAAUUUGACAAAAAGAUAAUAAAA
rnacentral:lncRNA from 1 species